CUGGGAAGGGAGGCUCUGGAGUGGGGCGCGGCUGCGGCAGAGGGGUGGGCGCAUGCGGCUGUGACCCUGCGAGCUCCUCAGAGAGGCUGCGAUACAAGGAGAAGUAAUGCCUGGAUGUGAGAAAGAAAAAGAACUUCACAAAGGAUACCAGCUGAAGCUUAAGACAUAUUUUACAGAGAGUGGAGUGAGCAACACAACUGGAAAACAGGAAGACAUUGAAAGCAUUAAAAAAUGGUAAAAUGAAAGUAAAACCGUCACUAUUGGAACGUGGUAUGACUGUAUUCCUGAAAAACCCAAGGUGACUACAUGCAAAAAUGCAGCUGGACCUUUACCUUAUACUAUACACAGAAAUUAACUCAAAAUGAGUCAGAGACCUAAAUGUAGAGCUAAAUAAGACUCUUGGCAGAAAACAUCAGGGAAAAAUUUUAUGGCAUUGGAUUUGGCAAUGAUUUCUUGGCUAUGACACCAAAAGCACAGAUGAUACCAAAAGAUAAAGAUGUAACUUAAACUUCAUCAAAAUCAAACUUUUGUGCAUCGAAAGACACUAUCAACAGAGUGAAAAGUCAACCCACAGAAUGGGAUAAAAUACUUGCAAAUCAUAUAUCUGAUGAGGGAUUGCUAUCCAGAAUAUAUGAAGAACUCCUACAACACAGCAACAACAACAACAAAAAACAAACAAUCCAAUGUGAACAUGGGAAAAAGACUUGAGAAGGCAUUUCUUUAAAGAAGAUAUAGAAAUAAGCCAAACCGGCCGGGUGUGGUGGUUUACGCCUGCAAUCCCAGUACUUUGGAAGGCCGAGGUGGGUGGAUCACCUGAGGUCAGGAGUUGGAGACCAGCCUGGCCAACAUGGUGAAACCCUGUCUCCACUAAAAAUACAAAAAAAUUACUGGGAGCGGUGGCGGGCACCAGUAAUUCCAACUAUUCUGGAGACUGAGACAGGAGAAUCGCUUGAACCUGGGAAGCAGAGGUUGCUGUGAGCGGAGAUCGUGCCACUGCACUCCAGCCUAGGCAACAAGAGUGAGACUCCAUCUCACACAUACACAAAAAAAAAGCCAAACCACACUGAAAGAUGUUUGAUAUCAGGAAUUAAUAGGGAAAUUAUGCAAAUCCAAACAACAGUGAUUUGUACUUCACACCCACUAGGAUGGCUAAUAUUAAUAAUAAUAAUAAUUGUUGGUGAGGAUGUGCAGAAAUUGGAACCCUGGUGCACUGCAUCUGGAAAUGUAAAAUGUUACAGUUGUUGGGGGAAACAGUAUGGCAGUUCCUCAAAAAAUUAAAGGAUUACCAUAUGAUCCAGCAAUUCUACUUUUGGGAAUAUAUCAAGAAUAAUUGAAAAUGGGAACUUGAAGAAAUAUUCGUACACCCAUUUGUAGCAGUAUUGUUUACAAUAACCAAAAGGUGGAAACAAUCCAAAUAUUCUUCAGCAGAUGAAGAGAUAAACAAUAUAUAUAAUAGAAUAUUAUUCAGCCUUAAAGAGGGAUGAAAUUCUAAUACAUGCUACAACAUGGAUGAACCUUGAAGAUUUUAUACUAAGUGAUAUAAGGAUACAAAAGGACAGAUAUUAUAUGAUUCCACUUAUGUAAGGUACCUAGAAUAGUCAAAUUCAUAGAGACAGAAAGAAUACUUGUUAGCAGGGACUGGAAAAAGGGAGUAAUGGAGAGUGAUUGUUUAAUGUGUACAGAGUUCCAGUUGGGAUAAUGAAAAUUUCUGGAUAUGGAUGGUGGUGAUGGUUGUACAGCAGUGGGAAUGCACUUAAUGCCAGUGAACUGUACACUCAACAAUGAUUAAAAUGGCAAAUUUUAUGUUUUGUAUAUUUUACUACAAUAAAAAUAUAUAUGCAAUUGGGUGUGAGGUACAUGGAAACUGUACUAUCUUCUCAUUUUUUCAGUAAAUCUAAAAACGUUCUAAAACUAAAAUCUAUUUAAAAAAAAUUAAUCCUUGUUUCCCAAAGGGUUAAACAUAGGUACCACAGGACUCAGCAAUUCCAUUCCUAGAUAUUUGUCCAAGAGAAAUGAAAACAUAUGUCCACACAAAAAUUUGUACACAAAUACUCACGACAGCAUUAUUUAUAAUAGCCUCCAAAUGAAACCAACCUAAAUGCCCAGCACUGAAUAUCCAUUCUUUGUUGUAUAUCCAUAUAUGGAAAUAUUAUUUGGCAAUAAAAAGGAAUGAAGUAGUUAUAUAUGUUGCCACGUGGAUGAACCUUGAAAAGAUGCAAAGUAAAAAGAGCCAGUCAGAGAAGACCACAUACUGUAUGAUUCCACUUAUAUAAAAUGUCCAGAAUAGGCAAAUCUGUGGAGAUAGAAAAUAGAUUAGUGGCUGCCAGAGGCUGGUUGAAGGAAAUUUGAGGAGUGAUUGCCAACGGGAAUCACUGGAGUUUCUCUUAGAGGGAUGAAAAUAUUCUAAAAUAAUUUUGGUGAUGGUUGCAAAAUUCUGAACAUACUAAAAAUCAUAGAAUUGUAUAUUUUAACUGUACUCUUAAAACUUACUUUUAGGAUGGAAAUUCCACAACUGGAGAAGUAAUCCAAGAUUACAUGCCACUGUUUCCACCUAGAACCUUGCUCUGGAACCCCAAUAAUUUAUAAAUUUCGCUGCUUUAUGGUGUCCCAUAUGUCAUGAAGGCUUUGCUCAUUCUAUUAUAUCCUUUUAUUUAUCUGACUGGAUUAUUUCAAAAUAGUUAUCUUCAAAUUUAGAGAUUCUUUCUUUGUUUGGCCUAGUCUAUUGUUAAGGUGUUUGAAUGUAUUUUGCAUUUCAUUAAAUAAAUUAUUGAGUUCCAG